AUUGAACGCUGGCGGCAGGCCUAACACAUGCAAGUCGAGCGGAUGAAGGGAGCUUGCUCCUGGAUUCAGCGGCGGACGGGUGAGUAAUGCCUAGGAAUCUGCCUGGUAGUGGGGGAUAACGUCCGGAAACGGGCGCUAAUACCGCAUACGUCCUGAGGGAGAACGUGGGGGAUCUUCGGACCUCACGCUAUCAGAUGAGCCUAGGUCGGAUUAGCUAGUUGGUGGGGUAAAGGCCUACCAAGGCGACGAUCCGUAACUGGUCUGAGAGGAUGAUCAGUCACACUGGAACUGAGACACGGUCCAGACUCCUACGGGAGGCAGCAGGGGGGAAUAGUGGACAAUGGGCGAAAGCGUGAUCCAGUCAUGCCGCGUGGGUGAAGAAGGUCUUCGGAUUGUAAAGCAGUGUAAGUUGGGAGGAAAGGCAGUAGGUGAAUACCUGGCUGUGGUGACGUUACCGACAGAAGAAGCACCGGCUAACUACGUG
rnacentral:rRNA from 1 species